AUUGAACGCUGGCGGCAUGCCUUACACAUGCAAGUCGAACGGUAACAGGUUAAGCUGACGAGUGGCGAACGGGUGAGUAAUAUAUCGGAACGUGCCCAGUCGUGGGGGAUAACUACUCGAAAGAGUAGCUAAUACCGCAUACGACCUGAGGGUGAAAGCGGGGGAUCGCAAGACCUCGCGCGAUUGGAGCGGCCGAUAUCAGAUUAGGUAGUUGGUGGGGUAAAAGCUCACCAAGCCAACGAUCUGUAGCUGGUCUGAGAGGACGACCAGCCACACUGGGACUGAGACACGGCCCAG
rnacentral:rRNA from 1 species